AUGAUGCUUAUCCUUUUUCUUAUCCUUGUCCUUGUCUUUGUCUUUAGACCGAUCCUUAUGUCGAUGUUUGUGCUUCUUAUGCUCCCUGUCUUUAUCUUUGUCUUUGUGCUUUUUGUGUUUUUUCUCUUUGUCCUUGGACUCACUUUUCGGUUUGCCCGAAAUAGUAGGUAUACCUUUUUCAGCCUGUUGAUUGAGGGUAAAUCUACUGGAGCAGUUUCUCGAAGCUGA
rnacentral:rRNA from 1 species